rnacentral:rRNA from 1 species
CCUACGGGUGGCAGCAGUGAGGAAUAUUGGUCAAUGGCCGAGAGGCUGAACCAGCCAAGUCGCGUGAGGGAAGACGGCCCUACGGGUUGUAAACCUCUUUUGUCGGGGAGCAAAGCGAGUCACGUGUUACUCAUUGAGAGUACCCGACGAAAAAGCAUCGGCAAACUCCGUUCCAUCAGCCGCGGUAAUACGGGGGAUCCGAGCGUUAUACGGAUUUAUUUGGUUUAAAGUGAGCGUAGAAGGGUUGUUAAGUCAGUGGUGAAAGUGUGCGGUUCAACCGUAAAAUUGCACUUGAUACUGGCAGACUUGAGUACAGGUGAGGUAGGCGGAAUUCGUGGUGUAGCGGUGAAAGGCUUAGAUAUCACGAAGAACCCCGAUUGCGAAGGCAGCUAACUAAACUGUGACUGACAUUGAUGCUCGAAAGUGUGGGUAUCAAACAGGAUUAGAUACCCCAGUAGUC